AGUAACGCGUGGGCAACCUGCCCCGCACUGGGGGACAACAGCCGGAAACGGCUGCUAAUACCGCAUAUGCGCACGGCUUUGCAUGAAGCAGUGUGGAAAACUCCGGUGGUGCGGGAUGGGCCCGCGUCUGAUUAGCUGGUUGGCGGGGCAACGGCCCACCAAGGCGACGAUCAGUAGCCGGCCUGAGAGGGUGGACGGCCACAUUGGGACUGAGACACGGCCCAGACUCCUACGGGAGGCAGCAG
rnacentral:rRNA from 1 species